rnacentral:tRNA from 1 species
GUUCUUGUAGUUGAAAU